GUCGGACUGUGGGGGAUAAGAUUCAUAGUCGAAAGGGCAACAGCCCAGAUCGUCAGCUAAGGUCCCUAAAUGUAAGUGAAGGGGUAAAGGUUGUAGGAUUGCACAUACAACCAGGAUGUUGGCUUAGAAGCAGCCACUCAUUCAAAGAGGGCGUAAUAGCUCACUGGUCGAGGGAUCCUGCGCCGAAGAUUUCCGGGGCUAAAACUUACUACCGAAGCUACGGCAUCAGUAAUGAUGGGUAGGGGAGCUUCCCAUACGGGUUGAAGCAUGACCGUAAGGACAUGUGGACAGUAUGGGAGUGAGAAUGUUGGCAUGAGUAGCGAGAUGUGGGUGAGAAUCCCACAGGCCGUAAACCCAAGGUUUCCAGGGGAAGGUUCGUCCGCCCUGGGUUAGUCGGGACCUAAGCUGAGGCCGAAAGGCGUAGGUGAUGGACAACAGGUUGAUAUUCCUGUACUACCGAU
rnacentral:rRNA from 1 species